rnacentral:rRNA from 1 species
UACAGAGGUCUCAAGCGUUGUUCGGAUUCAUUGGGCGUAAAGGGUGCGUAGGUGGCGGGGCAAGUUUGGUGUGAAAUCUCCCGGCUCAACCGGGAGGGUGCGCCGAAAACUGGGAGGCUAGAGUGCGGGAUGGGAGAGUGGAAUUCCUGGUGUAGCGGUGAAAUGCGUAGAUAUCAGGAGGAACACCGGUGGUGCAGACGGCUCUCUGGACCGUAACUGACGCUGAGACACGAAAGCGUGGGUAGCAAACAGG